GUGUCAGCAGCCGCGGUAAUACCAGCUCUCCGAGUGGUGGGGAUGAUUAUUGGGCCUAAAGCAUCCGUAGCCGGCUGGACAAGUCCCCUGUUAAAUCCAACGAUCCAAUCGUUGGUCUGCGGGGGAUACUGUCCGGCUUGGGGGCGGGAGAGGCCGCCGGUAUUUCCGGGGUAGGGGUGAAAUCCUAUAAUCCCGGGAGGACCACCAGUGGCGAAGGCUGUCGGCUAGAACGCGCCCGACGGUGAGGGAUGAAAGCUGGGGGAGCGAACCGGAUUAGAUACCCGGGUAGUCCCAGCUGUAAACGAUGCAGGCUAGGUGUUAGGGCGGCUACGUGCCGCUCUAGUGCCGCAGGGAAGCCGUUAAGCCUGCCGCCUGGGGAGUACGGUCGCAAGGCUGAAACUCAAAUGAAUUGACGGGA
rnacentral:rRNA from 1 species